rnacentral:rRNA from 1 species
UGGGGAAUAUUGGACAAUGGGCGGAAGCCUGAUCCAGCCAUGCCGCGUGUGUGAAGAAGGCCUUUUGGUUGUAAAGCACUUUAAGUGGGGAGGAAAAGCUUAUGGUUAAUACCCAUAAGCCCUGACGUUACCCACAGAAUAAGCACCGGCUAACUCUGUGCCAGCAGCCGCGGUAAUACAGAGGGUGCAAGCGUUAAUCGGAAUUACUGGGCGUAAAGCGCGCGUAGGUGGUUAUUUAAGUCAGAUGUGAAAGCCCCGGGCUUAACCUGGGAACUGCAUCUGAUACUGGAUAACUAGAGUAGGUGAGAGGGGAGUAGAAUUCCAGGUGUAGCGGUGAAAUGCGUAGAGAUCUGGAGGAAUACCGAUGGCGAAGGCAGCUCCCUGGCAUCAUACUGACAUUGAGGUGCGAAAGCGUGGGUAGCAAACAGGAUUAGAUACCCUGGUAGUCCACGCCGUAAACGAUGUCUACCAGUCGUUGGGUCUUUUAAAGACUUAGUGACGCAGUUAACGCAAUAAGUAGACCGCCUGGGGAGUACGGCCGCAAGGUUA